rnacentral:rRNA from 1 species
AGAGUUUGAUCCUGGCUCAGGACGAACGCUGGCGGCGUGCCUAAUACAUGCAAGUCGAGCGGACAGAUGGGAGCUUGCUCCCUGAAGUCAGCGGCGGACGGGUGAGUAACACGUGGGCAACCUGCCUGUAAGACUGGGAUAACUCCGGGAAACCGGGGCUAAUACAGGAUAAUUCUUUCCCUCACAUGAGGGAAAGCUGAAAGAUGGUUUCGGCUAUCACUUACAGAUGGGCCCGCGGCGCAUUAGCUAGUUGGUGAGGUAACGGCUCACCAAGGCAACGAUGCGUAGCCGACCUGAGAGGGUGAUCGGCCACACUGGGACUGAGACACGGCCCAGACUCCUACGGGAGGCAGCAGAAGGG